AGUAAACGGCGGCCGUAACUAUAACGGUCCUAAGGUAGCGAAAUUCCUUGUCGGGCAAGUUCCGACCUGCACGAAUGGCAUAAUAAUGGCCACACUGUCUCCUCCCGAGACUCAGUGAAAUUGAAAUGUUUGUGAUGAUGCAAUCUCCCCGCGGCUAGACGGAAAGACCCCAUGAACCUUAACUGUAGCUUUGCAUUGGACUUUGAACCGAUCUGUGUAGGAUAGGCGGGAGGCUUUGAAGAAUGGACGCCAGUUCAUUCGGAGCCGUCGUUGAAAUACCGCCCUGAUUUGUUUGAGGUUCUAACCUGGGCCAGUGAUCCUGGCUGGGGACCGUGCAUGGUGGGCAGUUUGACUGGGGCGGUCUCCUCCUAAAGGGUAACGGAGGAGUGCGAAGGUACGCUAAUCACGGUCGGAAAUCGUGAGGAUACUGCAAUGGGAAAAGCGUGCCUGACUGCGAGACAGACAAGUCGAGCAGAUGCGAAAGCAGGUCAUAGUGAUCCGGUGGCUUCUGUAUGGAAGGGCCAUCGCUCAACGGAUAAAAGGUACUCUGGGGAUAACAGGCUGAUACCGCCCAAGAGUUCAUAUCGACGGCGGUGUUUGGCACCUCGAUGUCGGCUCAUCUCAUCCUGGGGCUGUAGUCGGUCCCAAGGGUAUGGCUGUUCGCCAUUUAAAGAGGUACGUGAGCUGGGUUUAAAACGUCGUGAGACAGUUUGGUCCCUAUCUACCGCGGGCGCUGGAAGAUUGACAGGGGCUGCUCCUAGUACGAGAGGACCGGAGUGGACGCACCUCUGGUGUAUCGGUUGUGACGCCAGUCGCAUUGCCGAGUAGCUAUGUGCGGAAGAGAUAACCGCUGAAAGCAUCUAAGCGGGAAACUUGCCUGAAGAUUAGUCUUCCCGGAGGCUUGACCUCCCUGAAGGGUCGUCCGAGACCAGGACGUUGAUAGGCCAGGUGUGGAAGCGCUGUGAGGCGUGAAGCUAACUGGUACUAAUUGCCCGUGCGGCUUGAUCCU
rnacentral:rRNA from 2 species